AUUGAACGCUGGCGGCAGGCCUAACACAUGCAAGUCGAACGAGUGGCGGACGGGUGAGUAAUGUCUGGGAAACUGCCUGAUGGAGGGGGAUAACUACUGGAAACGGUAGCUAAUACCGCAUACCAUCAGAUGUGCCCAGAUGGGAUUAGCUGGUUGGGGGGGUAACGGCUCACCAGGGCGACGAUCCGUAGCUGGUGUGAGAGUAUGCCCAGCCACCCGGGAGCGGAGACACGCUCCAGACUCCUACGGUAGGGAGCAGUGGGGAAUAUUGCACAAUGGGCGCGAGCCUGAUGCAGCCAUGCCGCGUGUAUGAAGAAGGCCUUGGGGGUGUAAAGUACGUUCAGCGGGGAGGCGUUACCCGCAGAAGAAGCACCGGCUAACUCCGUGCCAGCCGCCGCGGUAAUUC
rnacentral:rRNA from 1 species